CCAAAACGGUUUACAUGCUUCGCGAAAACGCUUCAAUACAUCGUCAAGUUCGGGGUCUGUUACGCUAUCGUUGUAGCCCCAAACUGCAAUUACGCCUCCUGGCUUACGCAAAACGCGCUUGACGACCGAGUAGAACUUUGGGAGGUCGAACCAGUGCACGGCCUCUGCCGCGGUCACCAAAUCAACUGAGUUUUCUCCCCCUAUUAACUCAACCAAAUCGUCUUCAGACAUGGCCAUCGGAGUGUGAACGUAACGAACUCGAGGAUGUUGGAGUGCAAGCUUCAGUUGGGACUCACUCAUAUCAGUCCCUAUUACUUGCUCAUAAUGCUCUCCAAGCUGCAGAAAGUACAGACACACAGCACAAAAUUAGUACUCUUAUUUUCAUCAUGUGAUUCAUCGGUGUUUGAACUCAGACUUUCAAAAUCUAGUCUUCCAAUACACCGGUGCAUUAUGGAAGUUUCGGAAAUUAAGAGAAAGUGCUCACAGAAAAAGCAGCUUGGCCAUUGCCAGUGCCGACAUCCCAAGCUAAAGAAUGAUUUGGUGAGAGAGUAGCCAGCAUGGAAAACCAUUCCUUGGGAUAAGUUGGCCUUCCUACCAAGUAAACCUCUGCGUGCUUGUCGAAUAUACCUUCCAUUUUUUUACUUCUGUAAUUUCCGGCCCGAUACGCGCCGGAUACGUAUGUGAACGUAUCCGUUGACUAGUUGGCCUCCGGAUACGUCGUCGAUACGCUUACUAUAUGCGAAUCCGACUGUCUGGAAACGUUUUUAGAGGACAAGAAGACUGGGAGAGAGCUUCACCGUCGACCGUCGUCUGCAACUGUGUUGGUUGCGUUGUCUGCAACUGCAAGUGUGCUGGCUACUGGUGCUGGGUAACUGGGUUACGAUUUGAACAGUAGAACAGGUAAGGAGAAGAAGAAAUAGUAUUUUGGGUACAGGACCUGUCGGCUGCCCGUGCUGGGUUUCAAUUUGAACAACGGAACAGGUAAGGAAAAGAAGCAAUUGUAUUUUGGGUGGGAUCUGUUCAGAGAAGAACGGAGAGAGAGCUUUUGCUUUUGGAAGGGAUAUGCUGAAGCAGCUGAACUAGUCUUUAUUUUUCUUUUGAAAGUCUUAGUCAUUGAAACUUAAUUUUUUUCAUUUAAAACCUGAUAUAAGUUUUUUAUUGGAAUAAAACUCAUUUACUAGAUUUUACAUCAGCAAAUUAAUUCCGAGUGGUACAAAGUCCACUCUAAUAUCUUAUUUCUUCACCCAUUUUUUUAUAAAAAAAUUAAUGAUAUAUUUACUCUUAUUAAAAAGACUUUUAGACCCUUAUUUAUAAAUUCAUUAUGAUGUUAUUGUAGUUAUAAUAAGAGUAAAUUGUAGCAAUGGUCCCUGAACUUUACUCAAAUUGGAGCAAUGGUCCGUCAACUAAAAAUCCAUUACCAUUGGUCCAUCAACUUAUCAAAAUGUGUAGUUAUAGUCUUUUUCAUUAAUUUCUUCAAAAUUUUGUCAAAAUAUGUUAUGUUGGAAUAACCAUUUAUUUAAUUAGGGUCCCUUAACUCAUCAAAGUGUGUAAUUAUGGUCAUUUUUGUCAACUACGUAAAAAAUUUUGUCAAAACGAGUUAUAUUUGAAGGACCAUAGCUACAAUUGGGAUAAAAUUAAGGGACAAUUUCUCCAGUUGAAUUAAAAUUGAGGGACCAAAGGUAAUGGAUUUUUAGUUGAGGGACCAUAGCUGCACGUUUUAAUGAGUUGAAGGACCAAUGGUAAUGGAUUUUUAGUUGAAGGACCAUUACUCCAAUUUGAGUAAAGUUCAGGGACUAUAGCUACAAUUUACUCUUAUAAUAAAAAAAGAAAAAAGAAAACUAAAAUUGGCCAAGCAAACUUUUCCCCUCCCUACCCUAUUUCUCUAUCCCCCGUCUCAAUCAAUAUUGAAUCAAGGAAGUUGGAGAUCUCCAACAACAUUGAUAAAAAAAAUAUAAAAAAAUAAAAAAAAAUAAAAAAAAGCCACAAUUCAACUCAUGGAAUUAGGGAUUAUGGAAAUGGACUAAGACUAUGAAUUGCAGAAGAAGGAGGGAGGGGCCGAGACUUACGUGUCGGUCAACCUGGACAUAACCAGAUUCAAGAGCACAUGCACCUACACGAAAGGGAGUACUAGGAGAAAGACAUCCAACCUCCGACCUAUUUCUCACAUCUCUCUCCGAUCAUUUAGUUUGUUAGUCCCUCCUUUCUCUGUCUCUCCCCUGCUUCUUUCUCCUCGUCCCCCUCCUGUUUCGCUCUCUUCGAUGGCGAGUAUGAGAGGUCGAUUGUUUCUUUUUAAUAUUUUUUUAAAUCAAACAAGAAUUUAGAAAUAUUAAAGGUUAUUUUAGGAAUAAUGGUUGGUGUAGAAAUAACAUAUUAAUUUUUUAAUAUUUCAUAGUGGGUGAAUUUAUAAUGUGGGUGCGAAAAUAAGACAAUAGGGUGGGUUUAGUAACACUCUUAAUUAAUUACAUUUGAUUUUACACAUUUAAAAAUUUUUUAUGCCCAAAACAUCCCUACUUAAAUGUUUGAUUUACAUAAUUAAUUCUAUACAAAUUGUAAGGGAGAAUUAAUGAUUUUACAAAUAUAAAAAAAUAAUAAAUUAACUACAUAAUAUAUAAUAACAAUAAAACAUGGCUAAUAAAUGUAGUAAUACAUGCUUAGUUAAGUCAAUAAAAUUAUAUUUUACAUGUAAAUGUAGGCAAAUUAUUUCACACACACAUAUAUACAUAUAACAACAACAAAAAAACAUGCCUGAUAUACAUAAAAAUUCAUGCAAAAUAAUUUACUUGUCACAGCCCGUCCCGAGAAAUAAUUAUCGUGGUUGUGAAAAGACGAAUUUACCCUUGAGCGUCGGGUGUGUGUUUGUAUUUUGGGUUAAGAAAUUGGGUCAAUUAGUUCUAUCCCUAACUAAUUGGACCCAAUUAGAACUAAAAGAUUAAAGAGUUUUGAUUGGUGUGCAUUUUGGAACCACUCACACAUCCAUACCCUUUAUCUCUCCUCUCUCUCGUACUCUCUCUCUCUCGGACUCACUCUCUCCUCUCUCUCCUCCGUACGGAGAACCUUGGACCAAGCCAAAUCUUCAUAGAUCGAGGGUGUGAAGCACACCAUUGUGUUCUUUGUUCCAUUACGAGUUCAAAGGUACCAAUUUCAGGUAAGAACUCGUCCGAUAUCACGUUGAAAACUCAAGCUCCGAGUUGAGCACUAUUCAUGAACUUUUGGAAUGGUUGUGUUUUAGGACAAUCCAAGCUCACAGCAAGCUCUAGGAGGUUCUCACAAAGCUCGGAGUGCUUCAUUGGCUCGGUUUUGACGUCGGGAUCACGAGGUUCGAAGGUGACCGGUUUUGGUAGGAUUUUCCCGAUGAGUUUUCGAGGGAUUUGAAGCUCCAAAGAGGUAUAAUCUUCUUAUUCUCGUCAUUUGUGGCAUUUUUUGUGAAAAUUUUGUGGAAAAUGGUGCAAAAACGAACGAGAAAAAGGCAGUUACAGGUCUACCCAGAAUCCGGCGCAAGCAACACUGUUCUGGCGUCUGGAGGUUGAAGAUGAUACGCAUGAAACCGUGCCCUCCCCAGCGCGUGAGGGCGCGUAAGCCACAUAAAAAUUAUUUUAAAAAUAUCACGAUGUUCGUGAGGUUGUGUAGGUCACGUUGGUAUAUUCAAAUACCAAAAUUGAGCUUUGUAUGAUAAUUUAUUAGCUAGUUUUACCUAUGUGCUUUAAAAUAAUGUUUUUAUAGUCAAUUCGCAUAUAGGUGAGACGUAUCCCGAGGACGAGCGUAUCCAAGGGCAACUCAAGGGCUACGACCCUUCGACAUCUCAGUGAGUGGGCUUUUGGUUUUCAGUAUAUAUUAUAUACUUGAUAUUUUCCCAAAAAAAAAAUGUGUUUAAAUGAUAGUAUGCCAUAAUGCCAUGCAUAUAAGUUUAUAAUUUAUACAUGAAUUGGUAUGUGAUGCUUUAUGUAUAUAUAUAAAUGCGGUGCUGUGGACGCUCAGGUAAGCUUAGGUAAGUUGUGUUUGGUUAUGUGAAUCAUCGAUGAGGUAAUAUGUGAUUGAAUAAUGUUGAGCUCAUAAAACUGCACUUAGGGUGAUUGUGAUUUAGCCAUAGAUAUGGCACAUGCCUGUUUAUUAUGUCACAUCCCGCACCAUAUGCUCAUAUUGGAUCCAAUUUAGGUGCACAGUCUUAUCAUACAGACUUUAUUUAUGGUUCUGACUCGUAGGUGACUAGCGAUUUAUUGCCCAGCUAUUAUGUGAGAGUAGUAUUGAGCAUGAUUGUAUGACACCCAUUAUUGUCGUAUAGACCUUUUGUUUGGUUCAGACUCUUGUGCAGUAUAUUGCCGUAUAGGUCAUAGUAGUGACUCCAGUACUUUUGGAGCUAUGAAUUAAGUCGUACAAACUACCAUAGGGGUUCUGGCUCACAUGUUAUAUUUCUAUGAAAUUAUCCUUACCUGAAUUGCUUACUCUAUUAUAUCUUGGCAUGGCAUAUAUAUAUGAUUAUGAUUAUUUGAUACAUGAAUUGAAUUGAUAUGAUUUCAUACAUAUUUAUGUAUAUGCUUAUAUCUUGAUUAUGGGAAAAAUUAUACAUAUUUUACAGAGAGGGGUUAGGUUGAUAAAUGAAAUGAUUUUGUAAAACAUUUGUUUUUGCCCCACUCAUGUUUUCUGUUUUGCAUCCCUCCAGGUUUUAAGUAAGUUUGCUGUUGGUGGCUUGAGGGUGUCGGCAGUUCUAACCUACCUAAAUAAUAGUAGGACAUUCCUGGUACUGUAUAACUUGUACUUGUCCAACUGGACUGCACCUAGACUUAUUAUGCUCUGAUUAGGAGUGUUUACUGUUGUAACUAACUCCUAUCACUUUCUGUUUAGUAGUGCACUCUAGUAAUUCGAUUAUUAAUUAUUCGUAUAUUUCUUAUCUCUAUUGCUUCCGCACUGUGGACAUGGCUAUGUCACUCUCAUGUGACGACCAGCAUGCCUUGAUCUCGGUGGGGGUGUGUCAUUACCUACAUAAUAAAGCAAACCCAAAUAUAUGCAAAAUAAUAUAAAUGUAAAAAAAAAUGUUAUUAUUUUAUUCAAUACUAGUUUACAUAUUAUUUGUACAUAUAAUAAUAAAAUGUGCCCAAUAUAUAUGAUGAUACAUACAAAAUAAAAUACUUACAUACUGAAGAAAUGUUAUUUGAUUCAAAUUUAAUUUACUUACAAAAUAAAGCAAUUGUAUUUUAUUCAAGAUUAUUUUACCUAUUAUUUGUAUAUAUAUCUUAUAAUAAUAAAAUGUGCCAAAUAUAUGUAACAAUGUCACAUCCCCGCCUGAGCCACCACCACAUCCCAGGCUUGACUCCACCGUAGCAUGAUAUUAUCCGAUUUGGGCCCCGACCACGCCCUCACGAUUUUGUUUCUGGAAACUCACACGAGAACUUCCCAGUAGGUCACCCAUCAUGGGAAUGCUCUCGCGCAAAAUUGCUUAACUUCGGAGUUCCUACGGAACCCGAAACUAGUGAGCUCCCAAAAGGCCUCGUGCUAAGUAGAGAUGAGAAUAUACAUAUAAGGCUUAGAGGAUCCACUCCCUGGGCGAUGUGGAAUGUUACAAUAAAUUGUAACAGCCUGUCCCUAAAAAUAUGAUUUUUAUAAUUUCAAAAAGUGAAUUUACGAAAAUGCCCUUCAAGGGAAAGUGUUGACUUUUGUUGACUACCAUGUCCACAUAAGGUUCAUUUUCUUGGCAUAUUCUCGUAGUACUCGUCGUUACGGAUGCGAGGGUGCAAAUGGAGUGCAAUUUGGAUUUCUAACGAAUGAGAUAUUAAUGUUUAAAGUUGAGGGCAUUUUAGUUGAUUAAUUAAUUUCAAGAAAAUUUCACAUUUUUUUAGAGAAAUCUGGGUGCCACGUGUGUGGCCCAGAUUAAAAGAAAAUAGUGAUGGUCGGUUGGGAGAUGAGAUAAAGGAGAGAAAGGAGGUGGGCGCUGCUUAAUCAGAAAAUGAGGGAGUGAGAGGGUGACCAAUCAGAGAAAAGAAAAUGGAGGGAAAUGAGGGAAGGGAGAAUGAGAGAACUGGCCAAACCCGGUUUCUCCACCCGACCCGCCAACUUGACCUGCUCAUAUCUCCUUCGUACGAACUCCGUUUUGGGUGAUCUUAGUGUCCAUGGAAAGCCCUUGACGAGUCUUACAUAUAUGUAGUAUUAGAUUUCCAAAUUUCUUACCUAAAUUCACGAAUCGAAGCCAUAAACCCAUGGUGGUUCCGGCGAGUUUCUCACUUUUCCAGUGAAUUCCAAAAUGAUUCCCUUCAAUUACCACCACCAUUGGACUUCCCUUGAGGCCAGGAACAAAGCUCAUGCAUUGGUUGGGACAUCGGAGUUGCUUUAGAGUCGAAUCAAGAACUAGUUGGGACAUCGGAGUUGCUUUGGAGUCGAAUCAAGAACCACCCAAACCUAUGGUUUUCGACGGGUUUUAGUGAAAUCGAGGCAUUUCCCGGCCAAAUUGGCCAUGGUCACAGGUAUGAAAGUUUCUCUACUCACUGAGAUCUUUAUUUUUGUGAAAUUUGAUAAUUUUUAGAAAUAGUUAGAUUUUCCGGCGAGACGGGGCGGCCGACUGCUACAUGUGGCGGCGCUUGGGCCGAGAUGUCCCCUGACCUUCCUAGGCUAAAUUUGAAUACUUUGAUUUAAUUAUUGAAGUCCGAUUGAUGAAUUUCCAUCAUUUGAACCUAGUUUCAUUAAGGUCCCUCCACCCGAUUAUAAUUAGGAGUUGAUGAUCCGACUGUUGGAUCGCCUCUAAACUUUGAUAUGUUGUAGUACAUAAUAUUUGAGGAUUUUAGAAACUUACGGAUCGGGAAUCCAAUGUACGGAUCUUCCCGAAUAGGAUAUGUAAGUUAAGUGUUUUAUUGACAAGAAUUCUGAGAUAUGGUUUGAUAAUUGUUCUAGGAGCCAAUUGUUCGUGACGCCUCGAUAUUUAUGCUAGGGAGUUCUAGCGCGGACUCCAGGUGAGUGGGCUUUUGUUUUCUAUAUAUAUGUAUAUAUGCUUUACGUUUUCCCAGAAAUCGUUUUAAAUGGAAUUACGUUUAUAAAUGCCAUGUCAAUUGCACUAUAUUUUAAUAUAUGCAUUUAUAUAGAGAUGCAUAUUAUUGUAUGACGUUGCGGGCGAGCAGGUAAGCUUGAGGUGAGUAUAUAUUGAUGGUAGUGAUUGCAGUGUAUAUGAUUAUGAUGAGUUGCAUAGUGAUUAAUAUCAUACACCCCGGUGUUAGGCUCCGCCUGAGGUCAGGGCCUAGCCUUCACGUGAUUGUUCACCUCCUGUACCACACGCUCACCUUAGAUCCAAGGCAGGUGCCAUCUUGUCAUACAGACCACAUUAGGUGGUUCAGACUCAUAGGUGACAUGCGAUUCGUCGCACAGCCUUCGCGUGAUUGUAGCACUUGAGCGUAUUUAUUUACAUCAAGCUUGUCGUACAGACCACAUUGGUGGUUCCAACUCGUGUGCAGGAUUGGAUUUGAUUGAUGAGCUGUAGAUUCAGCCAUACAGGUCACGUUAAGUGACUCCGGUUGACAUAUUAUUUUAUAUUGAUUUAUUUCACCUGGCUUACUUAUUUCAUUGUUGAAAUACCUGACAUGGCAUAUACUUGGUUUUCACAAUUCUCGAGCAUGAUUUCUAUAUACGUAUGUAUUAUUAUUUUCUGGAAAAUUAUACGGGUUUUACGGUGAGGGGUUAUUAUUAUUAUUUUGGAAAAGAGAAAUGAUUUUUGAAAAGCUUUGUUUUUUUCCACUCACGUUUUCUUGUUUUGCGCCCCUCCAGGUUUUAGCUGCUGAAAGUUCAUCUCGACUAGGAUUCGUGGCAAAUCUCAAUAUAGGUGGCUAUCUCCGAGGGUAUGAUCCUUACCCAUAUUACUGUACUUUACUUAUGCUCUGACAUCGCGUAUGAAAUGAAUUCAUUCCCGCUCACAACGCACUCUGGUCUUUAGAUACUUUUAGCUUUAAAUUUACUCAUAUUUUACACAUCAUCACACUUUAUGGCUUUGUCACCUUCCAGGUGUCGCCCAACAUAGCUCAAUUCGGAGUCCUAGUGGACUUUCCGGGUUGGGGUGUGUCAAAUACUACAUGGAAAAUAAAUUACCUACAAAAUGAAAAAAACAAUGUUUUUUUAUUCAAUAUUAAUUUACCUACAAAAUGUAUGUUAUUUGCUCAUCAUAAAUUUAAAUAUAGGUAGAUUAAUUAGUUUAAUAUGUUUGAUCAUAUAUGUUGUCACAGCCCGUCCCGAAAUAUUACAUUUUUAGACAUGAAAUGUCAAAUAUGCCCUUGAGCGUUUAUGGUGUGGUGUGAUUUAAAUUUUGGAUUUGGACCAAUUCGUUAAGUCCUUAAAAAUUUUGGGAACCAAUUAGGACUUAAAGUUUUAUGGUUUUGUUGGUUGGUAACCAACUAGGACCACACACUCCAACUCCCUCUCUCUCAUUCCAGUGUACUCUCCUUCUCCUCCAUCUCGAUUCUCUUCUUCUUCCGUACAAAUCGUACAGACAAACUCCAACCCUCACAAAACUUUGCAGAUCGAACCUUUAGAGUCAUGGUUGAGUUCCUUGUAACCUUAGGAUCUUAACCAUACCAUUUUUAGGACGUGAAGGCUUCAAAAACCCCGAGAGCUCGAACCCCAUAUUUCAUGCACUGUUCAUGCACUAAUUAAUGUGAGGUUUUUAGGAGUUUUUAAGGACAUAGGGAGCUUUGAAUCAUCCUCACGAAGCUCGGAGAAGAAAAACCAAGCGAUUUGGAUGUCGGGAAAUCGAGUUUGACGAGUUUUAAGUUUUUGCCGGAUUAUCGAGCUUUCUCCGGCGAGUUUUCGUGGAUUUCAAGCCUUGAAAUUGGUAUGGAUGUGUUCUUCUAGUUAUAAGCUUUAAAUUGAGACCAAUUUCAUGAGUUUUGGGUUAAGAAAUGAUUGAGAUAUCAAGGUUUUUCAAAUUCCCAGUUUUUCGGCGAUGGUGACGGUCACCGGAGUUGAAGGAAGAAGACAAGCGAAUAUUCCAUCAACUUUGAGGGAAUAUUCUAAUGGCAUCAGGUUAGUUUUAAUGGUAUAUGCUAUUAUUUAACAGAAUAUUCCUUAACGCCGUUAGGGUUACCGUUAAUGUGCCUGGCACGUGCCUGAGCGUGGGUGGUUGGAAAUCUUUCUAAAAAUAUAGGGAUGUUCGUGAGGUUGUGUAGGUCAUGUUGGUAUAUUUAUAUACCUCAUUUGAGCAAUGUAUGAGAACUUAUUAGUUAGUAUUGGUUAUGUGCUUUAAUUAACGUUUUUAUAGUUGUUUCGCAUAUAGGGAAGACUUAUCCCGAGGAUGAGCGCAGUCAAGGGCGACUCGGGGGCUAUGGCCCUUCGACGUACCAAUGAGUGGGCUUUUGGUUUUAAGUAUAUAUAUAUAUGCUUGGUAUCUUUCCCAGAAAACGCAUUUAAAUGAGUUAUGACUUAAAUUACCAUGCCAAAUGAUUUACAUUUAGCAUAUGCAUAUGAUGUUUGCAUAUAUAUAUAAUUGUGGUGCUGAUGAUGCUCAGGUAAGUCCCAGGUGAGUAUAUGAAUUGUAAAUGUGAAUAACGGUUGUGAUUAGUUGAGAAACAUUGAGCUCAUAAAGCUGCACCCCAGUGUUAACGAUUUAGUCAAAGACAUAGCACAUGCCUGUAUAUAUAACGUCACAUCCUGCACUCUAUACUCACAUUGGAUUCAAUUUAGGUGCACAGUCUUGUCGUACAGACCAUGACAGGUGGUUCUGACUCGUAGGUGACUAGCGAUUUAUCGCACAUCUAUCAUUAGAGAGUAGCACUGAGCAUAACUAUAUUACACCCAGUCCUAUCGUACAGACCAUUACAGUGGUUCUAACUUGUGUGCAUGGUAGUGCCGUAUAGGUCAAUUGCAGUGACUUCGGCUAGAUGGACUAAUGAGCUAUGAAUUCAGCCGUACAGACUUCUAUAGGGUUCCAGCUAAUGUGUUAUUUUCCAUAAAUUUAUUUUCACCUGAGUACUUAUUUUGUUUAUAUCUUGGCAUGGCAUAUUUAUGAUUAUGGAUAUGUGAAGCAUGAUUUGAAUAUAUAUAUAUAUAUGCAUAUAUUUAUAUUUUAUUUUUGGGAAAAAUUAUACAGGUUUUACGGUGAGGGGUUAGAGCAUUUGAAAGUUAAAUGUGUUUUCAAAACCUUUGUUUUUGCCCACUCACAUUUUCUAUUUUGCACCCCUCUAGGUUUUAGGUAGACUUGCUGUUGGUGGCAUUUGAGGAUCUCAGCGGUUCUGACAAUUAUAUAUUGAGCAGGACAUCUUAUGGUACUGUAUAUAUAGUACUUGUCCUAUUGGACUGCACCUAGACUUUUUACGCUCUUAUUAGGUGUAUUUACACUUGUAUCUUAUUAGUGCACAUUAGUAGCUUUCGAUUUUUAUUUAUUCGUAUAUUUCUUAUCUUUAUUGCCUCCGCAUUGUGUACAUGGUUACGUCACCCUCACGUGACGGCCAACACGCCUCAUGUGUAGUAUUGUGCAUGUAUAUGUAUAUAUGUAUAUAUAUGUGUGUGUGUGAACGUAUAGUAGUAUUAUGUAUAUAUAUCUAUAGCUAAACUAUAUAUAUAGUACUACUAAACGUUCAUAUAUGUAAACUAUAUAUGUAAACUAUAUGUAUGUAUGUGUGUGUGUGUAUAUAUAUAUUGAGCUUAUGGUAGUAAUAUAUACAUAUGAACGUAUAUAUGUGUGUGUUAGGGGUAAUAAUAUGUGCAAUAAUUAUAUUUUCAUUGUAAUUAAGGUGAGUAUAACAUUUAUUGAUUUUAUUUUGAAUAUUGUGGUACAUAUUGUAAAUAUUUUGUAAUAAUAGGUCAAUUACUUCUAUACUUGGCAGUUAUUUUUAAAUUUGGGUUUUAUUUGGAUGUUUAUAACUAGGUGGGUUUUUAUCUAGAAAAUAAGAGUUGUAAGGGUCUAUAUCUAAAGAACAUUUGUUUUCUUCUUGAAAAUGAGGCCAACUAGUGGCUUAGUCACAGUAAUCCAUCUUUUCGGAGCUUGAGAAGACUUACAUAGACAUUUCAGCCUCCCCUAGCCACCAACGUGUCAUAGCGUCAAGAAUCGAACCUAGAAUGAAUUGUGUGAAAUAUGGCCACCCCUUGGUGGUGAGCCAUUCGUUUUUUCUUUUUUUUUCUCUAUUUUUUUGGCUUUUCUCUCACUUAAUUUGUUAGUAUAAUAUAAAUUAUAAUGAAGUCAUUUUGGUUCCGGUCCCUAAUCAACUUAAUUGUUAUAUUGAAACCUUGUUUGUUUAAAUAUUUUGAUCAAGGUCCUUAGCAUCAUUUAAGAGACUUAUCUCAUGCAUUUAUGCAUUUAAUGUCCCACAAAUUAUGAAAUCUAAACAAAUUCAAAUAAUUUUUUAAAAUAUAAUAAAUAGUUAAAAAUCAAUUUUAGAGUAAUAUUGUUCUUCACAAAAAGUAUAGCAAAAAAAAAAAUAAUAAUAAUGUACCCACAUAAUAAUUAACAUAUUUUUUAAAAUAACUACUGAUAUAUUCUAAAAUAUAUAAUAAAUACAUAUAAUUAGCAUGGGUACAUUUAGAAAAUUUUAAAAUGGCUACAAAUAAAUUAAAAAGAUGGGUACAAAAACAAAUAAAAGUUUAAAAAAAUAUGGGCACAAAAAGGAAUUAAUAUAUGGGUACAAAUUAAAAAAGGGUUGCAAAUUAAAAAUGGGUACAAACUAAAAAUAAAAGUGUAUGAUAAAAAAAUUUAGCCAUAAAUAUGAAUAUAUCAAGUAUAACAUUUCUAACACUAAAUGAAUAUAUUUAGAAAUAAAAAUUAUUUUAUUAUUGGAAUAAUUAAUAACGUUUAUUAAAAUCUAAGGACUUUGAUAAAAAAAUUGUAACAUCCCACAUCGACCAACAGAGAGAGGGUGAUGUGCCAUAUAUGGGUGCGUUUGGUACGCAGACGGGACGGAACAGGACGGGACGGGACGGGACGGGACGGGACGGGACGGAACGGGACGGGACGGGACGGAACGAAGGUGUAAUUUUUGAAAAAGACAUGGGUAUAUUUGUCUUAAAAUGGUAAAACAUUGUGUUCCACAGACGUGGAACAAACCCGUUCCAGGGGGUGGAGGUGGGACGCAAAAACACCCAAAAUCUGUCCCGUGGAACAGCCCGUUCCACCCAUUUUUGACGCACCAAACGCGGGACGGAACGCCUCGUCCCGUUCCGUCCCGUCCCGUCCCACGUACCAAACGCACCCAUGUCCACCUCCAUAUGGCACGAGGCAUUUUGGGAACUCACUGACUUCGAGUUUCAUCAGAAAUCCGAAGUUAAGUGAGUUCGGUCGAGAUUAAUUAUCGCAUGGGUGAUCAAAUGGGAAGUUCUCAUCUGAGUUCCCAGAAAUAAAACAGUGAGGGGGUGGCCAGAGCCCAAAUCGGACAAUAUCGUGUUACGACGAAGUCAAGAGUUGGAUGUGACAAAAAUUGAAAAGGAAUAAGAUUUUAAUAAAAAAAUUCUAUAUAUUAUAUGUGGUGGUGGCCUCAUGUAAACUAUAAUAUUAUUUAGUUCUUCGCCCCAACAGUCUAUUUUUUCAACGGUUGGAAAGACUCAUAAAGACAUUUUAAUCUUUCCCUAACCACCAUCAUGUAACUUAUGAGCACCAAAAAUCAAACUCAUGACAUACUGUGUGAAAUUCAUUCCCAACUAAUAGAACAUCCGGUGAUGGUUUAAUAUUAUUUAGUUUCUAUUUGUAAUUAUUGCGCACAUCAAUUUUGUUUUCAUGACUUUGGCAUUGCUUGGUUUUCUUUUAAUUUAAUAACUAAAUUGUAGAUGUGCCAACGUAAGUACAUAACUGAAGGUUUGGGUCUAAUAAUAUAAAUUUGUACUUGAGUAAUAAAUUUGAAUAUUUAUUUUAUAAUAUUUUAGGUAUAUUUAAUUUUUUGUAUAUAUUUUCAACACUAUAUUCAUGUCAUAUCGUGUUUUUAUUUUAAAAUUUGAUAUAUCUUCGUUGUAUCAUGUUGUAUCUCUGUGUUCAUUUCCAUACAAUGUAUUAGCCUUAAAUAAGAGAGGACUAGCUAGAGUGAAACUAUGGGGGUUUUAAACUUUUAAUUUUAUACAUGCAGAAAUUUACUGUAAAUCAUUCCUGAUGGCUACUAGCUAGUACUGGUAAUACUUUUCAAACUUCAAGACUUGCAAUUUUCUCCAGUCGCCAAGAAAAAAUGAAAUUAUAAUUGUUGUUGGAAAGCCAAGUCCAAUUUGGUUUCGACUGAUUAAUGUUAAUUAUUAAAGGGACAUUUGACAAAGACGUUUUGUUUUCAAUUUUAAUUUUGUUUAAUAAAAUUAAAAAUUAAAAAAAACUCGUUUAAUUACUAUUUGUUUUUUCAAUAUUGAAAAUUGAAUUAGUUACUAAACGAAUUUUUAAUUUUUGACAAAAAUAAAAACUGAAAUAUUGUCCAACGACCAUGUAAGUAAACUAAGUUGAAAUCCUAUCAUAAACUAAUUGGUAAUAUAAGAAGUACCCAAAUUAAUCUUUCCUAGUAGCUAGUACUGGUAAUACUUUUCAACUUCAAGACUUCCGAUUUUCUCCGGCCCAAGGCCAAGAAAAAUGAAUUAAAAUUGUCGUUGGAAGGCAAGUCCAAUUUGGUUUAGACUAAUUAAGAUUAAUUAUUAAACUAAAAACAAAAUAUUAAAAUUAGUUAUCAAACAUGAACAUGCAAAGUCACUUAUUUCUUCGAUGUAGAAUUCAUAUUUUCAACAUGCUCCUUCACGUAUAGCGAAUUUUUAAACCUUACAGGUAGACAAUACAAAUCGGGUGACUGGAGCAAGUGUAGCCAUUAGACUUCACAUACGGGACAACUUGCUCUGAUAUCAUGAAGAAAUUUGAGAUUUCACCAUAACACUAAUUGACAAUGAAGAAUAAUACAAUUACUUAUAAGCACAUACAACAUUUUUUUUUUUCGUGUGUAAAAUUCAUACUCUCAAAACUAAAGACUACAUGAAAGCAAAGACAAUUCUGUUUGAAUAGUCUUAGGUUAGGGUUUAUGGCCAUGUACAUUAAUUAAUUUGACUAAUCAACACAUGCUGAAGUUUGACAUUAGAGUUAAUUAUGCUAGUGUCUCUUUUGCAGCACUCUUUCGAUCUGUCUCCAGAUUAUGUACGACAAAUUUCUAUGUUCAUAGUUUUGAUUGUAGCUAGCUCAGAACUCAUGCAUGAUUGAAUAUUCGUUUUAUGAGUUUUUUUUUUUAAUAAACGAUAUUAUCUAUAUUAAGGGGAAUGAGAUAAGCUUAAUUUCACAACAGGCUAGCCAUUAAAAAUGUAUUAGAAGAGUGUUUCUGAAACUUAGGCUAAAUUUGGGAAGCUCUUGGACAUUGCCUAUCCAAAAAUAUAUUCUUAGAUCCACCACUGGUAGUAAUUACCAAUAUUGUUAAAUUGUCAUGGAAUGGCUUCAACCUGUCACAAAUAUAUCGCAGCAAAACUUUUCCAGCAAGCAUAUAAAAGCCUUACACUAGACCAGUUUAGAACCACCCCAGGCACUUUUCAGCUAACAAAUCCACACCUUGUUCCUUGGCAGUAGUGACUGCAGAUCUACCUCAACAUCUUCUAAAACAUAUCAAACGACAACUUCUUCAGAAUGUCCCGUGGCAACGGAUUCCCCUCGCAUCCGAAACCAACACUUUGAAAUGGAAAUGGAAGUGCCUUAUGACUAUCAAACAAAUACUGGAUUUUUAUUGUCCCGAAAGGGAAGGGUUGUGAAAAGAAGUUGCUUCAUAAACAGUGAAAAGACUAACAGUACGAGUUGAGAGUUGUCCCACAUUGAUGAGGGACAAGGUUUAGUAUGUGCUUAUAUGGUCUUGGGCUACUCCCUAUAUUGCCAAUUGGUUUUAUGGUGGAACCCCAAUUUUAUCAUGGUAUCUGAGCAAGGUUGUCCACGUGUGAAGCCCAAUGGCCACACGCGCUCCACGUCACCUAGUUGUUGUCCACGUGUAGGCUUGAAAAUCCGCCACAAGUGCGGGGCGUGUUGAGAGUUGUCCCACAUUGGUGAGGGACAAAGUUUGCUAUGUGCUUACAUGGUCUUGAGCUACUCCCUAUAUUGCCAAUUGGUUUUAUGGUGAAAUGGACAAAGUUUGCUAUGUGCUUACAUGGUCUUGAGCUACUCCCUAUAUUGCCAAUUGGUUUUAUGGUGAAACCCCAAUUUCAUCGGUACAAAUGACAAUAAAAGUUACAUAUCCGCGGACACACGCUUGCAUGUGUAAAACCAUUUGUGAAUGACAAUGACUUAUACCGAGAGUCCUUGAGAGAGUAGUUGACUUGGCAAUCAAGUUGAUGAAAUCUUCCAUGAUUCUUGGAGCCUUAAAGAAGUAAAUAUAUUGGUGUCCUAACAUCUUGCAGUCAGUUUAGGGUCCUUUCAUUAAGAGAAUAUAAGGUAAAUGAGUCAUGAUAGGACUCUGAUUGUACCGAGAAGAUUAGGGUGAAUAUUCUUUCCAUUAAUAGGUUGGAAUUGAUAGAAACCCUAGGUAUAUAAUCAAGAAGCAGUCCCUGCUUCCAUACCGCCGAGUCUCUGAGCACUACAAACCUAUUUCGUUAGUUGAGAUCAUAAAAGAGGUAUUGGAAGUAGAAGGCUGUUUUCCAUCUCGCACUAGAAGCGGCUAUGGCAUCAGGUAAGUCUUUCACAUUCGUAUGCAUGCAUGUCGAUAAUGCCAUGCAGUGUUCGUAUGCAGGAUUGGCUGCAUAUUGUUCUUUUGAAUAUUGUUCCUUUUGUAAUCCUAAUACAUGCUGUUAAGUUCUUGGGAUAUUUCUACAGCAUGUACAAGUGUGAAGGGAGCCUCGGAGUAGGCAUGACUUCUACUAGGGUUGCCAGGUAAGUGACCAUUCCUGGAUUUUCCGACAUGUCAAUCUCCUCUGAAUUCACUCCUUUGGGCGGAGCCCAACUGAAAUGGUGCAACAGAUGACCCAACACGGGGGUAACCAAGUUAACACCAAGUUGAGCUCUGGGACAUUCUCGCCUGCUUGCUCCAAAGGGAAGUAGUCUAAAAUCAUGGCCUUCCGUGUCAACAUCUUCCUCAAGGAGCCUUUCCGGUCGAAACUCAUUUGGAUUUUUCCAAAUAGCGGGGUCGCGUGCUAUAGCCCAAACAUUAACAUGAACAUUCGAACCCUUGGGGACGUCGUAGCCACCAAUCUUAACAUUGGCCUGGGCUCUCAGUCGUUGUCCACGUGAGCACCACGUCACACGUUAACAUAAGUUCCCACGGAAAGUUGAACGGAUGUAUGAAAGUGUCUCACAAUUCUCAAAUUAGGUAUACAUUGGGAUGAAAAAAACUUGAUGUGUAAAAACUUGAAAACCACGAUACAUCAUGAUAGUGAAAUAAGAAUUACCCAAAACCAAUAUGUUGACAUGAUGAGAAUUAAGCAUAUCAUGCAUAUGAAUCGUUCCCAACAUAACAAGACGUGGAUUAGUCCAACUUAUUAGGACUUUUUCCGUCCCUUUGCAUCAAUGUUAAAAUUCUUCAUUGUAGAUACUAGAGUGGUUUGAAAUACAUAUCGGAUUAAAACAUUACAGCCUACACUUUUCCGGCAAGCAUAAAUACCUUGGCAGUAACUUUUCUGACCAAGUUAGGGUCACCCCAAGCUCUUUGAAGGUUUUCAAUCACCUCUUGUGAUAACAAAUCCACACCUUGAUCUUUAGCUUUAUUGAAUGCAGAGGAUGACCUGAACAUCCUCAUCACCCCUUCAAAUGACAUCUCCAUUGGCAUUUCCAGUGGCACAGGCUGACCUUCAGAACCCAAACCGACACUUUCAAAUGGAAAUGGAAGUGUCCUAUACCCUUCCCACACGUACUCCGUCUUCGGGUCCCAAAAGGGUUUACUUGCUUCACGAAAAUGCUUCAAUAAAUCGUCAUGUUCGGGGUCUGUCACGAUGGCAUUGUAGCUCCAAACUGCAAUUAUGCCUCCUGGCUUACGCAAAACGCGCUUGACGACCGAGUAGAACUUUGGGAGGUCGAACCAGUGCACGGCCACUGCCACGGUCACCAAAUCAACUGAGUCUUCACCCCCUAUUAACUCAACCAAAUCGUCGUCAGACAUGGUCAUUGGAGUGUGAACGUAACGAACUCGAGGAUGUUGGAGUGCCAGCUUCAAUUGGGACUCACUUAUAUCACUUCCUAUUACUUGCUCAUAAUGCUCUCCAAGCUGCAAAAGUAAAAACACACAUCACAAAAUUGAGUACUCUUAUUUUCUACAGUGCACCGUUGUAGGUGAUUCAUCGGUGUUGGAUUUGAGUGUCAAAAUCUAGUCGUCUAAUACAGCGGUGCAUUGUGGAAUUUUUGGAAAUUAAGAGGAGUACUAACAGAGAAAGCAGCUUGGCCAUUGCCAGUGCCGACAUCCCAAGCUAAGGAGUGAUUUGGUGUGAGAGCGGCCAGCAUGGAAAACCAUUCCUUGGGAUAAGUUGGCCUUGCUUCCAAGUAAAGCUCUGCCUGCUUGUCGAAUAAACCUGCCAUUUCUUUUACUUCUGUAAUUUUUAGCCGUCAAUAAAAGAGGACUACCUAAUGAGGAAGAGUGAAAUUACAUGGGUUUUAAACUUCUAAUUUAUACAUGCAGAAGCUAGUACUGGUAACAAUUUUCAACUUCAAGACUUCCAAUUUUCUCCAGCCCAGGGCCCAGGCCAAGAAAAAAUAAUCAAAUUGGUUGUUGGAAGCCAAAUUCCAAUUUGGUUUCCACUAAUUAAUCUUGACUAUUAAUAGGACUUAUGAUAACUAUUUUUUUAAUUUUGUUUAGAAAAAAUACAAGCCGAAAAUUCAUUUGAUAACUACUUUCAGUAUACUGUUUUUUGUUUUCAGUAUUGAAAAUUAGAACUAGUUAGUGAAUGAGUUUUUAAUUCAAAAGAAAUGACAACUUAAAUAAUUAUCAAAUGAGGACCCUAAGUAAAAGAAGUUAAAAUUCUAUCGUAAAACAAAUUUAAUAAUAUGAGAGUAACCCAAUUAACUCUACAUCUUUCCUAGUAGCUAGUACUGGUAAUACUUUUCAACUUCAAGACUUCCAUUUUCUCCGGUCUAAAGGCCAAGUAAAAACAAAUUAAAAUUAUUGUUGGAAAGCCAAGUCCAAUUUGGUUUCGACUAAUUUAUUUUAAUUACUAAAUGGGGCUCUAUGCGAAGGAAGUUGAGGUUCAUACUCAGACACCUUAACGUAUGAUGAAUUUUCAAGCUUAAUACGUGAAUAACAUAAAUCGAUUGACGUGGAACACGUGUGUUUAUUGGCUUCACACGCAUGACAACACACUACUCUGAUACUAUUAAGGAAGUUGAUGUUCCAUUGUAAAACCAAUUGGCAAUAUAGAGAAUAAUCUAAUUACUUAUAAACACAUGCAAGAUUCCUUCUUUCCUCGACUGUGAGAUUCAUACUCCAACACUAAGUACUACUGGAAAGCAAAGACAAUUCUCUUCUCUUUGAAGAGAAAAACUUGUAUGGGGCUUGACUUGCCACUGGACUUCGCUGAGUGGCACUACAAUCCACUUAAAACUCGUCACGUGGCAAGUCUUAAAUAUAAUCUUUUAUCAUUAUUUUAUAUUUAAAAUUUUUAAAAUUAUUUUUUAACUAAUUAAUAUAUUAUAUAUAUUAAUGUUAUGUUUCCUUUUUUAUUUCUUUCCCCCUAUUUUUUUUCUUCCCAAAUCCCCCCACACUUGUUGUUUUGCCGUAGGUCUUAGGACUCCCUCCCCUUUCUUUCAUUCCCAGUUUUGUUUCUUUCUUUCUUUAAAAAAAAAAAAAAAGUUAUGCACCCACUCCAUUUUUAUCAUGGAAAGCAACCAAGAAUCUAUAAGUUUCUUUUCUUUCUUUAUACAAUAAAACUCUGAUCAAAACAUUAGCUGUUAAAAAACUCUGAUCAUAUUAUAAAUAUAAAAAACCAAAAACCAUCACCCUCACCCAAAAAUCCCCAAUUAAAAGAAAAGAAAAUAACCCUAAUAUAGCUAUAUAUGUGGGUUAUUCAUGUCACAUGAUCAAAGCAAAUAUUGUAUAAAGAAAGAAAAGAAACUUACAGAUUCUUGGUUGCUUUCCAUGAUAAAAUUGGAGUGGGUGCAUAAUUUUAUUUUAUUUUUUUUUUAUUUUAAAGAAAGAAACAAACAAAACUGGAAAAGAAAGAAAGGGGAGGGAGUCCUAAGAGCAACUCCACCCAUGGAGCCCUCCCCCUGGCAAAUCCACCAUUUUGAACAGUAUAUGCCUUUAAUAAAUAGUAACUGCCAUAAAUGAACAGUAAUUGUCAUUUGCAUCUCCACCCUUGGAGCCCUCCCCCUGGUAAUGGACAAUUAAAAUAAUAGUUUUUUUUGUUUGUUUAAAUAAUACAAAAUAAAAUUAUUUGUAAUUUCGGAUAAGAAUUCUUAAAUCGUUAUCGUUGCGUCACGUGUCAUUUUAUCCAAAAAAACAAUUAUUUAGCGAAUGAUUUCGAUAAGAUUUUUAUCCAAUGUUAUCGUGUCAUAUGUCGUUAUCUUUUCAAAAUCUUUGGUAAAAAUAAAUAAUUUUUUAUACAUUAAAAAUAUUAUAAUAUUAAUCCAAUUAA
rnacentral:lncRNA from 1 species